rnacentral:rRNA from 1 species
GACGAACGCUGGCGGCGUGCCUAAUACAUGCAAGUCGAGCGAAGUUUUUUUGGUGCUUGCACUAGAAAAACUUAGCGGCGAACGGGUGAGUAACACGUAAAGAACCUGCCUCAUAGACUGGGACAACUAUUGGAAACGAUAGCUAAUACCGGAUAACAGCAUUAACUGCAUGGUUGAUGUUUAAAAGUUGGUUUUGCUAACACUAUGAGAUGGCUUUGCGGUGCAUUAGCUAGUUGGUGGGGUAAAGGCCUACCAAGGCGACGAUGCAUAGCCGACCUGAGAGGGUGAUCGGCCACACUGGGACUGAGACACGGCCCAGACUCCUACGGGAGGCAGCAGUAGGGAAUCUUCCGCAAUGGGCGAAAGCCUGACGGAGCAACGCCGCGUGAGUGAAGAAGGAUUUCGGUUCGUAAAGCUCUGUUGUUAGGGAAGAAUGAUUGUGUAGUAACUAUACACAGUAGAGACG